rnacentral:rRNA from 1 species
ACAGUCACACAUUAGAUACCCGCGUAGUCCAGGGUGUAAACGCUGCGGGCUUGGUGUUGGGGGUCCUUUGAGGGCGCCCAGUGCCGGAGAGAAGUUGUUAAGCCUGCUGCUUGGGGAGUACGUCCGCAAGGAUGAAACUUAAAGGAAUUGCGGGGGAGCACCGCAACGGGAGGAGCGUGCGGUUCAAUUGGAUUCAACGCCGGACAACUCACCAGGAGCGACGGUUACAUGAAGGCCAGGCUGAUGACCUUGCCUGAUUUUCCG